GAGUCAGUUAAAACAACAUGGCGAUGAGAGCAAGAACUUUGCCUCGUCUGUUCGGGUGACAAGAAUUCGUAACCUUAUGAUUCAUCAAACAAUGAAUUAUUUCUAAAGUUCUGGAGUUAAAACAACAGGAUAGCCUGAACCUUCAACCAUGUCAACUGGACUUGUCAUGAACCAGUUCAUAUCUGGAUUGAGGAAUCGAAAUGAAGAGGUCCGCAUCAAGACUGCCAAUGACCUCCACCAUUUUGUCAGCACCGAGCUGCGUGAGAUGCCGGUAGAGGAGCACACAACCUUCAUGGAUGAGUUCAACCAUCAUAUCUUCGAGAUGGUGUCUAGCACAGAUCUGAAUGAGAGGAAGGGUGGAAUCUUAGCUAUAGUGAGCCUGAUUGGCGUGGAUGUUGGUAAUACAUCAACAAGAAUGAGUAGAUUUGCAAACUAUCUGCGCAAUUUGCUGCCAUCAAAUGAUGUUGUCGUGAUGGAAAUGGCAGCCAAGGCUGUUGGUAUUCUGGCACUUGCAUCUGGCACAUACGCUGCAGAGUACGUUGAGUUUGAGGUGAAGCGAGCACUAGAAUGGCUGACAGGAGACAGGAUUGAAGGGAGGAGGCAAGCUGCGGUCCUUGUGCUGAAAGAGCUUGCUGAUAACACACCCACAUUUUUCUUCCAACAAGUUCAACAGUUUUUUGACUCAGUUUUCAAUGCUAUCAGAGAUGUGAAGCCAUCAAUACGAGAGGGUGCUGUGGCAGCACUGAGAGCAGCCUUGACCGUGACCUCUCAGAGGGAGACCAAGGAUUCUCAGAGGUCACAGUGGUACAGGCAAUGCUUUGACGAGACCCAGAAGCCAUUUGACGAGACCCAGAUGCGGGAGAAGAAGAUGACCCGGGAGGACUGGACGCACGGCUCGCUGCUGAUCAUCAAUGAACUUCUCAGAUGCAGCAAUGUGGAGGGAGAGAGACAGAGAAUGGAGAUGGAAGAAAUCACGGAUCAGCAGAACCUCCAUGACAAGACAGUAAAGGAGCUGUCUUCAAAGUCCAAACCCCAAGGCAGCAUCUCCGCACUUCAGCAGCUGCAGCAGAAGAUGUCGCCCCUGAUGAUAUUUGGUCUUGGAGGUCGUCCAGCUCAGCAGAAGCCGACAUUCUUCGAGAGUCAUACAUGCAAGGAUCUGAUGUCUGCAAACUUUGAUAAUGUAUGUCACCUGAUAUUGAAGCACCGGACGAGUCGCAGUGUCUAUGUACAGCAGUCUCUUCUCAUGGUCCUGCCACGAUUGGCAGCAUUCAACUCACAAUUCUUCUCUAAAACAUAUUUACAAGACACCAUCAACUUCCUGCUGGGGACGUUGAAACGUGAGCGGGACCGCACGCAAGCCUUCCAGGCUGUUGGGCUUCUUGCUAUCUCGGUGCAGGGGGAGAUCAGCCAACACCUGUCUCGCAUCAUGGAGGUCAUCAGAGCGUCUCUCCCACCAAAAGAUUACUCCGCAAAGAAGCAUCGGAAUUUCGUGGUGGACCCUGCUGUGUUCACCUGUAUCAGCAUGCUGGCCAAGGCCAUGGGCCCCCAGAUGACCCGAGACAUCCGAGAACUCCUUGACUCCAUGCUGGCCACAGGCUUGAGCCCUGCUCUGACUGCUGCACUGAGGGACCUUGCCACACAGAUCCCACAGCUCAAGAAAGACAUUCAAGAUGGCCUCCUCAAAAACCUCUCUCUUAUCUUGAUGGGACGGCCCCUCAAACACCCUGGAGCACCAAAGAGUCCUUCGUCUGCUCUUCCUCCAUCAGCCUCAGUGGCCAACUUGCCCGAGUCCCAUGAUGCUACAAGCAUCACCUUGGCACUGCGGACACUUGGGAGCUUUGACUUUGAAGGUCAUUCCCUGACUCAGUUUGUGCAGCACUGUGCUGACCACUACCUCAACAGCGAACACAAGGAGAUCCGCAUGGAGGCGGUGCAGACAUGUGCCCGGCUACUGUCACCUCUACUCACGCUUCUAGCCUCCAGUCAGGGUCAGAUCAGCAUGUCGGCCAUGACAACGGUAGCCUAUGUCCUCAACAAGCUCCUGGUGGUGGGCAUCACAGACUCAGAUGCAGAUAUCCGGUACUGUGUUCUGGCUGCCCUGGAUGAGAGGUUCGACCCCCAUCUGGCACAGGCAGAGAACCUCAGUGCUCUCUUUGUGGCUCUCAACGAUGAAGCCUAUGAGAUCCGCGAGCUGGCUAUUUGUAUGAUAGGCCGACUGAGCAGCAAGAAUCCAGCAUAUGUGAUGCCAUCACUCAGGAAAGUCUUGAUUCAGAUAUUGACUGAGCUGGAACACAGUGGUAUUGGUCGAAACAAGGAGCAGGCGGCACGGAUGCUCGGCCAUCUUGUUUCUAAUGCAGCCCGACUCAUCAGGCCCUACAUGGAACCCAUCCUGAAGGUACUCAUCCCUAAACUGAAAGAACUCGACCCGAACCCAAGUGUGACCAUCAGCGUGCUGGCUGCCAUCGGAGAACAGGCCCAGGUGAGUGGCACAGAGAUGAAGAAGUGGAUGGACGAGCUGCUCCCCAUCAUCCUGGACAUGCUGCAGGAUUCAUCAUCGCUGCAGAAGAGAGAGGUGGCGCUGUGGACGCUGGGUCAGAUAGUUGAGAGCACAGGGUCGGUGGUGGAACCUUACAAGAAAUACCCAACUCUCCUGGAGGUUCUCCUUAACUUCCUGAAGACAGAACAGGCCCCCGGCAUCCGGAGGGAGGUGAUUCGAGUCCUGGGACUGCUUGGAGCUCUGGACCCCCACAAGCACAAGCUGAACCUGGGCCUCAUCUCGGAGAGCGAGGCUGCGGUCAGCAAGUCUGACCAUACCAAAGCUGAGAAGGAUGCCAGUAACACAGAAUUGAACACCAGUGAAAUGCUGGCAAACAUGAGCGCCACCACAACCCUGGAGGAGUUCUAUCCAGCCAUUGCCAUAGCAACACUGAUGAAGAUCAUCCGUGACCCGUCCCUGUCCCAGCACCACACAAUGGUGGUCCAGGCUAUCACCUUCAUCUUCAAGAGUCUGGGCAUCAAGUGCGUCCCGUACAUUCAGCAGGUCAUACCUGCAUACCUCACCGUCAUCAGAUCUGCAGAUCCAAACUUUAGGGAGUUCCUGUUCCAACAACUGGGAGUCAUCAUUGCUAUCGUCAAGCAGCACAUCAAGAACUACCUGGAGGACAUCUUCUGUCUCAUCAAGGAGUUCUGGACCCCCAACAGCCCCAUGCAGAGCACAAUCAUCCUGCUGAUUGAGCAGAUCGUCAAUGCCCUGGGCACCGAGUUCAAGGUGUACCUGCCCCAGAUUGUGCCGCAGAUACUGCGGGUGUUCAUGCAUGACACCAGCCAGGACAGAGUCGUCACAGCCAAGCUCCUGAAUGCACUCCAACUGUUCGGUGCCAACCUGGAUGACUAUCUACACCUCCUCCUACCACCAGUUGUCAAACUGUUUGACUCUGCUGAUAUUCCUAUAGCAGUCAGAAAAAUGGCUCUGGAGACUAUUGACCGCUUGACCGAUGCCCUGGACCUGACCGACUACGCAUCGCGGAUCAUCCACCCACUGGUGCGUACGCUGGAUACCUGCACUGUAUUGCAGACCACGGUGAUGGACACGCUCUGUGCCCUGGUGUUGCAACUCGGACACAAGUUUACUAUCUUCGUCUCCAUGGUCAACAAAGUGACAGCAAAGAACAGGAUCACACAUCAGCGCUACAACAUCCUCAUGUGCAGACUACUGAAGGGCACCACCAUAGCCGAGGAGGAGGAUGACCCAGUGUUAAUCAAACACAAGAAGAACCGUCUGAAGGCGCCACAGUCUUCAGAUCAAACAACAGAAACUGCCACCAUCAAGAAAUUACAUGUCAACUUUAACCACAUGCAGAGAGCCCUGGGAGCAGGGAGGCGAGUGUCCAAGGAAGACUGGAUGGAGUGGCUGCGGAAGCUGAGUAUUGAGCUGCUGAAGGAAUCCCCCUCCCCAGCGCUGCGGUCCUGCUGGGCCUUGGCCCAGUCAUACAACCCCCUGGCCAGGGACCUGUUCAAUGCUGCCUUUGUGUCGUGCUGGACGGAGCUGACGGAGACCCAGCAGGAUGAGUUGAUCCACAGUCUGGAGCAGGCCCUGACAUCCCAGGAGAUCCCCGAGAUCACCCAGACUCUGCUCAACCUGGCAGAGUUCAUGGAGCACUGUGACAAGGGACCCCUGCCUCUUGCAAGCAACAUUCUCGGUCAGCGGGCCAUGAGGUGCCAGGCUUACGCCAAGGCACUCCACUACAAGGAAGAGGAGUUCCACCGCGGCCCGACAACCGACACUCUGGAGGCACUCAUCAGCAUCAACAACAAGCUGCAACAACCCGAGGCAGCCGCAGGCGUCCUGGACUACGCCAUGAAGCAUCAUCGAGCAGACCUGAAAAUCCAGGAAACUUGGUAUGAAAAACUUCAUGAAUGGGACAAAGCCCUUCAUGCAUAUGAACGUAAACAGGAAACCAACCCUGAUGACCUCACCUUGACCUUGGGAAGUAUGCGCUGCCUUGAAGCAUUGGGAGAAUGGGGUCAGCUGCAUGCACUGGCCUGUGACAAGUGGCCAACAGCCAGUGAUGAUGUUCGAACCAAGAUGGCAAGAAUGGCUUCAGCUGCUGCAUGGGGUCUAGGCCAGUGGGAGAGCAUGGAGGAGUACAUGUGUCUCAUCCCACGCACCAGCUAUGACGGAGCCUUCUACAGAGCCAUCUUUGCUCUUCACUCAGAGAACUUCCAGCUGGCCCAACAGUGUAUUGACAAGGCCCGGGACAUCCUGGACACAGACCUGACUGCUAUGGCGGGGGAGAGCUACAACCGAGCCUAUGGGGCAAUGGUGAAUGUCCAGAUGUUGUCGGAGCUGGAGGAGAUCAUCAAGUACAAGCUGAUCCCCGAGAGACAGGACGCCAUCAAGACCAUGUGGUGGGACAGACUCAAGGGCUGUCAGCGGGUGGUAGAGGACUGGCAGCGGAUACUUCAAGUCCGGUCGCUGGUUAUCUCCCCUACUGAUGACAUGAAGACCUGGCUCAAAUACGCCAGUCUCUGUCGCAAGAGUGAGCGGCUGGCCCUGUCUCACAAGACGCUGGUCACCCUGCUGGGGAUUGACCCUGACAAGAACAAGGACAAGCAUAUCCCCACCACCCACCCCCAGGUCACCUUCGCCUACCUCAAACACAUGUGGCAGACGGGCAGCAAUCAGAAGGAGAAUGCAUUCAGCAUGUUGCAGCACUUUGUCCGUCAGUCACUCCAGGCCAAGUCGCUCCAACUCAUGGCUCCCGAAGAUGCUCCACAAAGACUGGAGCUGAACAAGCUGUUGGCCAGAUGCUAUCGCUGUCUGGGAGGCUGGGCGGAGGAGUUGAAUGGUAUAUCGGAGGAGUCGAUUCCCCAAGUGUUGGAGUAUUACAGCCUGGCUACACAGCAUGACAAGAACUGGUACAGGGCAUGGCAUGCAUGGGCACUGAUGAACUACGAGGCGGUAUUGUUCUACAAGCAGAAGGAGCAGAGUUCCUCAAGCACCACGCCCUCUGGGGACAAGGGUGUCAUUGCCAGGCCGGUCAUGGAGCUAGUCAUCUCACCUAAACCAGAAUCAAAUUCUGCUAAGAUCCACAAAUACUGUGUGCCAGCAGUUCAAGGCUUCUUCCGAUCUAUCGCCCUUGACUCCCAGAACAGCCUCCAGGAUACUCUCAGGUUGCUGACAGUGUGGUUUGACUUCGGGCAGUGGCCUGAGGUGCACGAGGCGCUGGUGGAAGGCAUCAAGACCAUCCAGAUCGACAACUGGCUGCAGGUGAUCCCCCAACUCAUAGCCAGGAUUGACACCCCCCGGAACCUGGUCGGCAGACUCAUCCAGCAGCUGCUCAUUGACAUCGGCAAACACCAUCCACAGGCCCUGAUCUACCCCCUGACAGUGGCAGCCAAGUCAAAUGUCGUGGCCCGCCAGACGGCUGCCAACAAGAUCCUGCAGAAUAUGUGUGAGCGGAGCAACAACCUGGUGCAACAAGCCAUGCUGGUGUCUGAGGAGCUGAUCCGUGUGGCCAUCCUGUGGCAUGAGCUGUGGCAUGAGGGCCUGGAGGAGGCAUCCCGACUCUACUUCGGGGAGAGGAACGUCAAGGGCAUGUUCGCAACACUGGAGCCUUUACAUGCCAUGAUAGAACGAGGCCCACAGACCCUCAAGGAGACAUCAUUUAAUCAGGCCUAUGGCCGGGACCUGAUGGAGGCUCAGGACUGGUGUCGGAAGUAUCAGCGGUCGGGCAACGUGAAGGAUCUGACCCAGGCCUGGGACCUGUACUACCAUGUGUUCAGGAGGAUCUCCAAGCAGCUGCCACAGCUGACGUCCCUGGAGCUGCAGUACGUGUCCCCCAAACUCCUCAAGUGUGAAGACCAGGAGCUGGCCGUGCCAGGAUCCUACGAGCCCAACCAGCCUGUCGUCCGUAUCAAGCGAGUUGCCAGCUCCCUGCAGGUCAUUACCUCCAAACAGAGGCCACGCAAACUUACUAUAUAUGGUAGUGAUGGUAAAGACUACCAGUUCCUGCUGAAGGGCCACGAAGACUUGCGCCAGGACGAGAGGGUCAUGCAGCUGUUUGGCCUCGUCAACUCACUCCUCAGGAACAAUCCCGACACUUUCCGGAGAAACCUCACGAUCACACGAUUCUCAGCCAUCCCUCUCUCGACCAACUCAGGGCUGAUCGGAUGGGUGCCGCACUGUGACACACUACAUUCCCUGAUCCGAGACUACCGCGAGAAGAAGAAGAUCCUGCUCAACAUAGAACACAGGCUUAUGCUGCGGAUGGCCCCGGACUAUGACCACCUGGCCCUGAUGCAGAAGGUGGAGGUAUUCGAGCAUGCCCUGGAACACACACAGGGCGAUGACCUGGCCAAGAUACUCUGGUACAAGAGCCCCAGCUCUGAGGUAUGGUUUGAUCGUCGGACCAACUACACGCGCUCUCUGGCUGUCAUGUCUAUGGUGGGCUACGUCCUGGGACUCGGGGACAGGCACCCUUCCAAUCUGAUGUUGGAUCGUAUGAGUGGCAAAAUCAUCCACAUUGACUUUGGUGACUGCUUCGAGGUUGCCAUGGUGAGGGAGAAGUUCCCUGAGAAGAUUCCCUUCCGAUUGACGAGGAUGUUGAUGAAUGCCAUGGAGGUGACGGGUAUUGACGGCAACUAUCGCAUGACGUGUGAGAGCGUGAUGCAUGUACUGAGAGACCAUAAGGACAGUCUGAUGGCCGUACUGGAAGCCUUCGUCUACGACCCCUUGCUCAACUGGAGGCUGGUUGAUGCAACAACAAAGACAAAGACAAAAACCAACAGGUCCGAUUCCUACUCUGGAAGUCAAGAACAAGGUGACCUGUUGGAGAGUGUGGAGCUGAAUCAGUCAUCCAGCAAGAAGAUCGGACCUGAGAGUGUGUCGGGGGGAUCAGGAGAUGACAAUGUGCCAUCAGAAGUGUUGAACAAGAAGGCAAUCUCCAUUGUCAAUCGAGUUCGAGACAAACUUACAGGCCGUGACUUCAGCACAGAGGAUGCCAUUGAUGUGAGGAAGCAGGUGGAGUUGCUGAUACACCAGGCCACCUCUCACGAGAAUCUCUGUCAGUGCUACAUAGGCUGGUGUCCAUUCUGGUAAUCUGAAGGCAGCAGAACUUUGAAGAGAGAGAACACAAUGCUGGCCGUGUAUAUAAGAACUUGCUGCAUUGUGUAAUGGAUUUAAAGGGUGGACAUUACUCUUCAGCAAGUGUAUCUUGAAGCACCAUUACUCAGUCAGAUCUUGGUUAGAGUGAUCUCCCCUUGGCACUGUAGCAUCUGCUCCUGUCAGAGAAGACUGCUCCUGUCCUAGUGGUUCGUCUGCCCAUGUCACUUUGGCAAUUAAGGGGCCAGUAUACAUUAUUUUUCAUUCUAGAGUGAACAUUUGUUUCAUAAUAAAUCAACAGCCAGGUUUUAGUCCUGGGUUCAAUCAAAUCUUGAUUAUUUGUCAGGGACCAGAUUAAUAAUUUUUACUUUUAUUUAGGAAUAUACAAAAAUGAUCAUAACAAAACUAUUUUUAGUUAAUCAUGUUCAGUGAUAAUCUGUGAAUAUUUCGUGGAGUCCCCAUGGUAAUAAGAACCCUGCUUAUGUGUUAUGUGCAGUUGGUGAAUAUCAUUACUCAAUAGAGAGUUUGUGCUGCCCAUUUAAGCCAAAGAAAGUGCCAUAACUGUGUGUGGUUAUCAAGUCAGCAAUCAUUCAGAAUUAAACAUAGGGCAUUAGGGAGAUUGAGUGGAAGUUACUGAUGUCUAAGUACUGAGUUGAAUUUCCUUCCUGAAGUUGUUACUGAUUGUUACCUUACUGAUUUCUUCUCAAUGUUGAAUGUUGUGGUCACAGCUACAGCUGUCAAAUUGUUGCAAUAAUUGUGUACAUGUGAAAGUAAUAAUCCUGCAUCAUGCAACAAUUUGUUGAAGAUGAGAAAAUGUAUUGCAAACAGGAUGAUUUGUCUUUAAACAGGGCUCGAUUUAGCUACUGGUAUAUGUAGCAUGCACCAGUGCAACCUAUUAUUGAAAAAUGAAACCUAAUAUUUUUGUCUACAUGCACGAAAUUAUAUUAACCAUGCAACAUCACUUAUCCCAAUGUGUAAUUUGUCAUGCUUUAUUGGGCUUGAUGUCAUCAAACCAUGUGCACUUCAAGAUUAUGUCCACCUCUUCCUGUUAUGUUUUGCAGCAGACCGGGUUUCAAAUGUGAUUAAGUUAUGGGACAACUAGGUUUUCAUGUCAGCCAUGCACCUGGUGCAUGUAAAUCUUGUUCUUUAAAUCGAGCCCUGCUUUAUGGUAUUCUUGAAAAAUCAAAGGUCAUUUCAUCUUAUUUAUCCCAGAAUGCUUUAACUUUGAGUCCCCACCCAAUCUUUCAGAAAUCUGAUGACCUUGACAUAAACUUGGAAGCAGAUGUGCACUAUUUUCUUAUUGAGUACAUGUAAUAAGGACAUAUGUCGAAACUGUUUUCAGGGUCACACUUAAUUGUUUUUGUACAUACAAUGAAAUUGAAUUUUGAAAAUAAUUUAAGAAUUGUUUUGUCUUUCUUUCCAAUGUGUAUUGAAGUUCUUUGAUGUGCAUGUGUUCAGGUGUGUGGUUGGUUGAUGAAAACACCUAGUGAUGAUUCAUGUGGAGGUGAACACUGAGUUCGACUUGGUCACACAUAUAUUUAUAUUAUACACACUGUGAUGUGGCUGUUUUCGAUAUUCAAAUACAGUGAAGCCUGUUACUUGAUCCUCUAAUACUUCAUGUGUUAGUUGAAAUGUCACUGGUUUCUGUUUUUGUUCCUUUAAUAAUGUUCCAAUAAUGAUUUGCACUUGUGCAGAUUGAUUUGUCUCACAACUGAAGCUUGCUUCCAUAUUGAGUCCUUAAAAGGGCAUGUGUGUGUCUCAACAACCAUUAAUAACCGUUUAUCUUGGAAAGCUUCAAACAGGUGGAUCAUCCAUUUAGAAGUUAUUCAUGUUGUCAUAAUUGUCACUGGUAAGCUGUUAUCUAUACUUUUUGAUUUGCAUAAAUUACAGGUUUCUGAUGUUCGUGAAAGGAGGUCAUGUGAGAAGAAUUAAUAUGCAGACAUUUUGAAAUAGCCGCCAUCUUAUAUCAUUCAAUUUAAUUCAUGAAAUUAAUGCGAGUAGUCCCACUUUUGAACUUCAGAAACUAAUCAGCAAAUGAUAACACCAAGGAGACUUAGGAAUUCCAUCACACAAACUGAUAGCUGCCCAAAUGUUUACUUAAUCCUGCAUUACAUUUUGCUUUUCCUUCAAAAACACAACCUGCCCUCUCUGCACCAGCCAACAUACUCUUCUUGUUGCCAAUGAAAACAGAUCAUCUGUGAAUGGCAUCCUUUGUUACCUUUCGGUUUCUGUAUUCACGUGGGUAUUCUAUUUACAUAUAUUGGUUCCUUUUCGCAGGCCUGUUGUCCUGUGGUUUUGUAGUAAUUAUCUUGUUUCCCACCAUUUUGGAACUUGCUUUUAGCUGGGGUUUCCUAGAUGACAUGCCUCGCUGUCAUGGGUGCCUGAAACCUAAGUCAGCUUACAAGAGUUCUGGCCUGGUUCUAAACCACAGUGUAUGCUGUUAUCAAGGUCAGACGUUUGUCAACCCUCGCCUAUUUCUACCUUCCGAGUGUGUCACAAGAGGUGGCUGCAUCAACAUCAAUGAUGUCGUUGCAAGAUGGCAAAUUCUUUGAGUGCAGUUAUUGUGGUCACCAGCAUGCCACUAGCUCUGUAGCAUCUCUGGGGAGUCCCAAUGUCGGCAGACUAGCAUCUCCCAGGUGACGGUUCAAUUGGACAAAGUAGCCGUGCCUCUACAGGCCAGACUACUCCUGACACUUGAGAGUGUACACAGAGUAGCCGUUCACCAGUCUGGCAGGCACCAGGUCCUUCUGAUUCACCAGAGAGAUGACAUGCGCCUGCGACUCUGCAGCAAUCGACACCUUGUCAGCACGCCAGUUCCUCAAAGCAGGAAGGCUGCUCGAAGCUCGACAGGUGUUCUUUGGCUGAUGAGGUACCCAGCACAUCUCCCUUCUCCUAUGUCUGACAGGUCGUAGGAUGUUUCUGACCCUCACUGUUCUUCUCCGGAACAGGACUGCCCUGAUUACGAUUGGUUCCCUCGGAUCAUGUACCAUUCUCAAACCACCACGCUUCAAGAAAAGAUCCCCCUCCCAUGCACCUCCUGCUGCUGAGGAUGCUUAACGGGAUCAUCAAGCUUUGCUUCUUAUCAACCAACUCGCCCCUCUGUUCAUCAGCUGGAACCUAUGGGACGAAAACAACCAAGUCCUCCACUACAGAGGCAGGUACAAGCCAGGUCGGGACACUCCUCCUGUUGCCAAGCCUCCUCUCACACAACCUGUAGAAGAACUUCUUGACGGAGUGGAUGCUACACUGGGACACUUCAAACUUCCUCUGUCAGCCGAAUAUCGAACUGUCUGCCAGAAGCAACAACCGUCAACUUCUGAUUUACAUCUCACCUGUUCCAUUGGCAUGGGCAGUAGAUAUACAGGCACACCCAUGGCCAAAUGUGUUCUCCCUGCAGGCAGCGCAGACAAUUACUCGGAAUCUCGCUGCCAUUAAUACUGUGUUGGCAGUUCCACGUGAUCAGAAAAUUUUAUCCUCGAGCCAUCUUAUCCCUCAAGGCUGGGAACUACGGUCAUUUUAACCUCUCUUUCGUUCCACUGAACUGAUGUUGGACCAUAACAUGAGUAUACCUUGCAGUAGCUGUGUAAAGAAUCUCGCCUGAUGUUACAAUACCUACCCACUGGCUUGGAUAACCAGUCAACACUAAAGCUAUGCCCUCCUCCCUAUAGCAAUAUGUAAUGCAGGAUUAAGUAAAACUUCAUCAACAUCUGAUAUCUUUUACAUCUUCAGUGGGCAGGUUCAUGUUCAGGAACAGAUUCUUUUCUCAAGGGAUGACGUUUCCAGUCAUGUUUUCGCAGGAUAUGCAUUAAUUAUAUCAUAUUCACUAACUUCAAUUGCCAAAACACUGAGUGAGGGAUAUUCACAUUGUUUGCAUUAAUUUCAUGAUUUACAGUUUUAAUUGUAUUUCACAUAGGCAUAGAUCUGUUUGCUUAUCUAACAGUAACUGCUUUAGUUACCAUCCACUCUCGAAGACAAUAUAUGUAGUAGGCUGCUGUUAAUGUAACAGUCCAAGACUGUAACCCUUGUUGACAGGAAAAUAAAACAUUCAACCUUGA
rnacentral:misc_RNA from 1 species